GCCGCCAUAGCUCAGCCGGUAGAGCAGCUGUUUCGUAAACAGCAGGUCGCUGGUUCGAAUCCAGUUGGCGGCUCCA
rnacentral:tRNA from 1 species